rnacentral:rRNA from 1 species
UACGUAGGGGGCGAGCGUUGUCCGGAUUUAUUGGGGCGUAAAACGCUUGUAGGUGGCUACGUCAAGUCGGACGUGAAAUCUCCCGGCUUAACUGGGAGGGGUCGCUCGAUACUGGCGAGCUCGAGGCAGGUAGGGGGAAGCGGAAUUCCCGGUGUAGUGGUGGAAUGCGUAGAUAUCGGGAGGAACACCAGUGGCGAAGGCGG